UUUGUUUUAGGUUGAGGCUCAGGGCUGAUAUUAGUCUGGAAGAGAUCCGCAGAACCUGCCCAAGAGGAUGGCUGUCAGAAGGCAAAGAACAAGGGAUUGAAGGCCAGGACCCUUAACCCCAGUUAAAUCAGGAGAAAAACAUCAGGCAAACAGAAUUCAGGAACAUUCUACAAAAAACUCAGAACUGUCAAAGUCAUCAAAAAUAAGGGAAGUUUGAGAAGUGAAACGUCAUAGCCAAGAGGAACCUAAGGAGACAUCACAACUAAAUGUCACAUGCAUGUACCGGGUGAGAUUCUGGGGCAGAAAAGGACAUUCGGUAAAAACUGUGACAAUCUGAAUAAAGUACGAACUUUUUUUUUUUUUUGAGACAGAAU
rnacentral:lncRNA from 10 species